CCCUUAGAUGCCCGGGGCCGCACGCGCGCUACACUGAAGGAAUCAGCGUGGCUUUCUCCCUGACCCGAAAGGGUUGGGAAACCCGUCGAAUCUCCUUCGUGAUAGGGAUUGGGGCUUGAAAUUGUUCCCCAUGAACGAGGAAUUCCCAGUAAGCGCGAGUCAUAAGCUCGCGUUGAUUACGUCCCUGCCCUUUGUACACACCGCCCGUCGCUACUACCGAUUGAACGGUUUAGUGAGGGCCUCGGAUUGGUCUCGGCCCGCUCUUUACCGGGCGGCGCCGUUGGUCGAGAAGACGCUCGAACUUGAUCGUUUAGAGGAAGUAAAAGUCGUAACA
rnacentral:rRNA from 1 species